rnacentral:rRNA from 1 species
GAUGAACGCUGGCGGCGUGCCUAAUACAUGCAAGUCGAACGGUCUUUUCUAUGGAAGCUUGCUUCCGCUGAGAAGAUAGUGGCGAACGGGUGAGUAACACGUGGGUAACCUGCCCAUAAGAGGGGGAUAACAUCCGGAAACGGGUGCUAAUACCGCAUAGUUUUCUUGAUCGCAUGAUUGAGAAAGGAAAGACGGCCUUUGUGCUGUCGCUUAUGGAUGGACCCGCGGCGUAUUAGUUAGUUGGUGAGGUAACGGCUCACCAAGACGAUGAUACGUAGCCGACCUGAGAGGGUGAUCGGCCACAUUGGGACUGAGACACGGCCCAAACUCCUACGGGAGGCAGCAGUAGGGAAUCUUCCGCAAUGGACGAAAGUCUGACGGAGCAACGCCGCGUGAGUGAAGAAGGUUUUCGGAUCGUAAAACUCUGUUGUCAGAGAAGAACAAGUCGGAGAGUAACUGCUCCGGCCUUGACGGUAUCUGACCAGAAAGCCACGGCUAACUACGUGCCAGCCGCCGCUGUAACAC